rnacentral:lncRNA from 1 species
GAUGGUGUCAUAACAUAAGCUCUCCUCAUUUCCUACCCUCUGACACUGUUACCUUCCACCUUCAGGGUCACCAACUUAAUUCUAAAAAGACAAAAUCUGAUUGACUGAUGUGAGUUGUUUACAUGGAGUCUGAUCCACAUGUAACACAAACAUGGCAUCAGGUAUUCCAACAUGGUUCACUAGAAGAAAACUGAUAGAAGAAAGGGGCCAGCCCGUGUGAUCGAUCAGCAGGUGAAGGAACCUGUCGCCAAGUCUGAUGACCUGAGUUCAAUCCCCAAGACCCAUAUGGUUGAAAGAGAACCAACUCCUGCAUGUUGUCCUCUGACCUCCAUAAGUACACACACACACACACACACACACACACACACACACACACACACACACAAUAAAUAAAUAAAUAAAUAAAUAAAUAAAUAAAUAAAUAAAUAAAUAAAUAAAAUAAAGUAAUUAAAAGGUUAGCCUGAUAUUUGGACACAAAUUGACCAGCUCUUGAAAAGCUCACAGGUAUGUUUGGACAACUUCAAAGCCUCUCUUCUCUCUAGCAUCUUUUCUUGAUGCCUUUUCUCUCUGCUCAUUUUUCACACUAAAGUGGCCAUGCUUAGGACUCAUCUAAUGAAAACUGGGGGGCUAGAGAAAAAUCUCUACUAGUCAAGGCUCUCUCAUAAUAGAGGGCACUGGACAGUUUCAGUUGAGUGAUAACAUCUGACCUAAACACUAGUUAUCUGUGUCCCAUACUCCUUUUCUGUUGCUCCUGGCUAGUCAUUCUUAAUCUUUGGCCUACGAUCAUUAUGCUAUCGUGAGAACGAUUGCGUGUGUGGAUAUGUGGAUACAUGUUCAUGCAUAUUCAGGUACAUGAGUGAGUGAAAGGUUACAUGCACAUGAACGUUGUGUAUGAACACCAAAGGAAAACCAUGAGUGUCGUUCUCAUGAACACUGUCCAUCUCCUUUAAGAAAGAAUUUCUCAUGGGCCUGGAGAUCACCAGUUAGGAGCAGGGAUCUUCCUGUCUCUGCCUCCCUAGCACUGGGAUGACAAGCAAUGCUCCCACCUUCCUUUUCUAAGGUGUCUCUCCCACCUUGAGAAUGAGUUUUACUAUAUCCCAUUACUCUGGGUCCAGCCUAUGAGCCCUGCUUUCGGUGUCGUGCAUAGCGGAAGCCCUUUACCUUUAAGAGGAAUCAAUGCUGUCCCUCAGUUAUGACCCUGACUCCCUUCAUUCUGCUCCAUCCUUCCUGCCUAUGGCUUAGAUAAAAUACCCGUAGUAGCCUGUACCUUUACAGGAGGCUGGUAUGCUGUGACUGUGAAGAAGUCAAAGCUCCUGUCUUUUUCAGCACAUGAGGAAGCUUAACCUUGUCAUCCUGUUCUUUUUGGUUCUCUACAUAUAAUACCCUGACAAAGACUUUUCAAAAGUAAGCACACAUCAACCAGCAUGCACCCUCAACAUGCACAGCCUAUCAUGUUUGCACACUUUGGCAUAAAAAAUUAACCUCAAACAGGGCCAUUUAAAACAACCAUUUCACUAUGUUUACAAAUUCUGUGGGCUGAGAAUUUGAAAGAAUAGUAGUGGAAUACAUGCGUGCACACACACACAAACACACACAUACAAGCUCUAAUACAUGUAAGACCUUUAGUUGAAGAACUUGGGUGUUGAAAGAAUUUGAUGGAUAGGAUUAAAUUGUGCCCAAGUUCAUAUGUUGACUGUACUUGAACUGGCCUUCUUAUCCAGGAUAAGUGGAGUUCAUGAAGGUGGAUCCCUCAUGAUAGGAUUAGUGGCUUUAUAAGAACAGUGAUUGAGAAAGAAUUCAUUCUGUUGACGCCCAUGCAAGCGGAACAGCAAACUGCUUAAGAACUCAUGGAAUGUGGCCCACUGGUUAGCACCAUCUCAAUGGGUGUGCCUUGGAGAGGCACUACAUGUCCUGAGGAUCACAUGCUGCUGUAGAGCGUCACUCUGCUUGUUACCCUUGUGGUGGUCAUCAUGUCUCCCCCUAAUCUAUGAGCUGUAUGAAAACUCUAAGAGGGUUUCCAGACCCUCACAGGGCAGUGUCAUUGGCAUUUACAAUAGUUGUUCUUGAUCUUUCUCAAGCAUUACUGCUGGGGCAGAUUAAUGAUUCAGUUACCAUUCAGUAAAGUUAGGUUAAGGUAUUUUUGCUAGUGGUUUUGAUGUAGCAAAUCUUGAGGAGCAAUGUCAAGUUUAGAAAGGCGUUAGAAAGUUUGAUAACCGAGUGAAGGAUUUUUGAGGUCAGGGAACAAGAAUAACAGCAGUCUGACUAGUACUAGCUGGUGCAUCUCUCUUGCUGGGCGGGCGAUCAAAUGGUGAUUCAUUUCUUGUACCUAUUUUCGCCCUCAGCUUCCUGAUAUGAUUUAAUAAAAAGCUGUUAAUGUGUAAAUGUAUACCCUGAAGAUUUAGAGUAGAAAUGACUGAUUUUUUAUAUAAAAGUUUAGAUUUACGAUUCUUUGAAGAUUUUGUAUGAUUACUUUUUAAGAUAAAUUGAAACCUGCCAGUAAGACAACCUGGGGAGAAAAUUGCCUUGUUAAGUUAUAACAAGUUCUUUGGUUAUGAAUGCAUGUGGGUUCUUGGGAAUAAUUUGUUUUUAACCCAUAAUAUGUAAAACAUUUGAUCAUGUGAAGCUAUUGAGGAGCAUAUGUAUCUCUCUUUUUUAAAAAUGUAUUCUCAUUGUAAUUAUUCACUUAAAGAAAAAUAGAAUGUAACCACAUUGUGGUUUUAUGCUGCUUGAAAGAAUUUCCUGGUAGAUAUAUAAGCUAUGGAAGAAAAAUAAAAAUUUUGGAGCUUGCAUCAUCCACC